rnacentral:rRNA from 1 species
AGUGAACGCUGGCGGUAGGCCUAACACAUGCAAGUCGAACGGCAGCACAGUAAGAUCUUGCUCUUACGGGUGGCGAGUGGCGGACGGGUGAGGAAUACAUCGGAAUCUACUUUUUCGUGGGGGAUAACGUAGGGAAACUUACGCUAAUACCGCAUACGACCUACGGGUGAAAGCAGGGGAUCUUCGGACCUUGCGCGAUUGAAUGAGCCGAUGUCGGAUUAGCUAGUUGGCGGGGUAAAGGCCCACCAAGGCGACGAUCCGUAGCUGGUCUGAGAGGAUGAUCAGCCACACUGGAACUGAGACACGGUCCAGACUCCUACGGGAGGCAGCAGUGGGGAAUAUUGGGCAAUGGGCGCAAGCCUGAUCCAGCCAUACCGCGUGGGUGAAGAAGGCCUUCGGGUUGUAAAGCCCUUUUGUUGGGAAAGAAAAGCAGCAGGUUAAUACCCCGCUGUUCUGACGGUACCCAAAGAAUAAGCACCGGCUAACUUCGUG